UACGAAGGGUGCAAGCGUUGUUCGGAAUUAUUGGGCGUAAAGGGCGCGUAGGCGGGUUUAUAAGUCGACUGUGAAAACCCUGGGCUUAACCCGGGACGUGCAGUCGAUACUGUAAAUCUUGAAUGCUUGAGAGGGAGGCGGAAUUCCAGGUGUAGAAGUGAAAUUCGUAGAUAUCUGGAGGAACAUCCGAGGCGAAGGCGGCCUCCUGGCAAGACAUUGACGCUAAGGCGCGAAAGCGUGGGUAGCAAACAGGAUUAGAUACCCUGGUAGUCCACGCCGUAAACGAUGGAUACUAGAUGUUUGGAGAAUUAACCCUCUGAGUAUCAAAGCACACGCAUUAAGUAUCCCGCCUGGGGAGUACGGUCGCAAGACUAAA
rnacentral:rRNA from 1 species